UAAAAAAAAAAAAAAAAAAAAAAAAAAAGGAAAAAGAAGAAAAAAAAAAAAAAAACCGAACAGAUACAUCAUAGGUACAAAGAACAAGGAAUACUUUAUGAAAUUUGUCUCUAUUACACAUACUGGAUUGACCUCUGUGUGUUCUGGAUUUCAGUCCAAAUGUAUUUCCUACUUGGAUCACAGCUAAAAAAUCUGAAAGUCACUGUUCCAGCAGAUGCAGAACUCGGGGCAGAGCCCCAACCCUGCUGCACAUCCCAGGUGGGUGAGCAGCAGUGGGAGAGGGGCAGUAGAAAGAAAAAUCAUCAGAAAAGACACU